CCAAGCCUGAGGCUUUCCUUGACUACGGCAUCCCUGAGGACACGAAGGGAGAGCUGGAAGGGUCUUUCACAAUGUAAACACUUCCCAGGAUCAUCACCUCCGGUUUCUGCAGACGCACGUUUGUUUCAGGAAACAAGUGGAAGAGCAGCAUGCUGCCAAGUGUAUGGAUGCUAAGCUCCGAUUCUCUGCCUUUGAUCCUCAGGUAACUACUUAUUCCUACGCCAACUGGACUCUCAAUGCUGCUGAACUGGAAUGCAAUCAUCCUGCGUUGCUCUGCUAGUGUGAACAAAG